UACGUAGGGGGCAAGCGUUGUUCGGAAUUACUGGGCGUAAAGGGCGCGUAGGCGGCACAGCAAGUCGGGAGUGAAAGCCCGGGGCUCAACCCCGGAACUGCUUUCGAAACUGCUGAGCUAGAGUACAGAAGGGGCAACCGGAAUUCCCAGUGUAGCGGUGAAAUGCGUAGAUAUUGGGAAGAACACCUGAGGCGAAGGCGGGUUGCUGGGCUGAUACUGACGCUGAGGCGCGAAAGCGUGGGGAGCAAACAGG
rnacentral:rRNA from 1 species